AUAUUAUUGUGGCUGAGAAAAAAAAACACUUAUACAUAUCAAUAUUUUUGGCAAUGGAAGAUUCAAGCAAGAUACUAAGAAGAUCUAUUAAUUGUUUUCUUCAAAACUAUCACUAUUUUACCUCAACAGUAAAUGCGGUAAAUCAUUUUAUUGUGAAGCAACUUCUCAUUUUAGUUUUCGUGAUUUUUCAUGCCUAAACCUAACAGGGCUAAAGCUCAGGAUUCUUGAUUAUAUAGAUGUUUAAACUCUGGAGUAUCUUUCUCUAACAAUAGCUAUAUCACCUAAUAUUUGACUUAAAUGUGAAAUGAAACCAUGAUAAGCAUAUGCAUAUAGGCAUCGCUCGAGUUAUUGUCAUUCUAGUCGCUCAAUUCAGCUUAGUCAAGCUAUUGGUUCUAUCCAAGCAAUUGCCAAGGCAUCAAAAGAUCAAAUUCUGGAGAACACAAACCUUUCUGCUGAGAAGGCAGAGAUGAUUUCAAGGUUUCUGAGGGACUCCAAGUUUUACUCUUCUCCCAAGUUUUACAACAAUAAAUAAUAAUGGAAAGUGAGUAUCUCCUUCUAAUUCCUUUAUCUGGUUAGCUUCAAUGAGUCAACACACAAGGUAUUAACUGAUUAUCAAGCUGCUGCAGUGACUCUCUUAGCGCUAUUAUCAGCUGCACCUGGUGAUACUGAUUUGAGGUUCCAGAACCUUGCUGUCCUUGCUUUCCACAAAGCUGUUGAAGCCUACUUGGUUGGUUUGUUUGAGGACACCAACUUGUGUGCCAUCCAUGCCAAGAGGUCACCGUAAUGCCCAAAGACAUUCAACUUGCUUGCCGCAUCCGUGGUGAACAUGCUUAGGCUGAUUGAUUUCAUGCUUCUUGAUCGCUUCGGAAUACACCUUCUGUUACUAGUUUAGUAUUGUUCAAGUUUCCUAUGCCAUUGUAUAGUUCUUGACAACCUUUUAGGUUUCAAUUGAUGUCUUUAGAAUGAUUAUUUUGGUUAUGGUACAGUAGAUCAUAGAAAGAUACUACAAAUGGAAUGAUUUGAUUACUGGUGUAAGACAGUUUAUUUUGGAUUUAGCUCUUAAUAAUUAAUAUUAACUUUGAUACAA